CUCUUCCUCGCCUGUUGCCUGGACGACUCCGGCUGGAACAAAGACACAGACUGUGACUGGUCAGAAGCUCCAGACAUGGGAAGGUGGCGGCGGAGUAUAGCCUCUGCACCAUACUUCCCCACCAUCCCAUCAUCCACCAGGAGGAAGUGAGAGUGCAGACUGUUGAGCACGUUCAGCUUGCUCAAGGGGUUCAGCAGCGUCUGAUAUGGCGUGACCACCUGAACACAGAGGACCACAAACCAGGAUCCAGGCCCCCGUGGUGACCGCUGCCUUGACCAGCCCCUUUCCCACCACCUGCUUGAGCCGAGGGUGGAGGUCAAAGUUCUGGACGCCCCCGUGGACGGAGAUGACUAACUUUGGAAGCUCCAUUUGCCACUCUUUGAGCAGGAGCUGGAGGAUGGACUCGGGUUUGGAGUCGUAGGACAGGCGCACAUACUGUGACCAAAACACAAGACAGAGAGGUUCAGAGUCCACCACGACCAGUAGCAUGUACCUACUGUACCCUGGGUUAAGCACAAUGGUUUACCUUGUGCUGUCAAUAACUGACUGUAUUGAACCAAUCAAGACCAUGCUCCGCAAAGAAAAGCACUAUGAUUGGUUCAGAUCAGUUGCCAGGAGACAUCAGCUUCAUCCCAUUCUGGAGUUUUUGGAAGACUCAGUCAAUGUCAUAGUCAUUGUCACACUUCAUUAUUUACCAAAGCUCUACAGUAAGGAAACUUCCCUAUAAAAAAAAUAAUCAAGUGUUUGUUGGAGGUACACUACCUGGUGUUUUCUUAGAAUGUCAAAACACUUCUCAGUCAUAGUGGUGUUCAUUUACACACAGCUAAAACUGAGAUUAGAUUAGAUUAAAUCAGGUAUGCUUACUAAAGGACAAUUAUGAGAUUAUUAUACAGUUUCACAGGGCAAGAAAAGAGGUGCUUCAAAAAUUGCCAUUGGUUAUCUGUAAGACCCUGGAAAUGUCAGCAGUUCAGGUGAACGGGAAGUAGGAUUUUGACCUUGAGUUUGACCCUUUGACCCUCCCCGAAUCUGGACUCUGACCUUUGCUCUGUAAGAAUGGGAUCCACCCUGGAAGUUGAGAAUGCCAUACGCGUCAGUGGGGCGCUCCUCCGUGUGCUUCUCCACAGACCACUCCUCCAGCUCGGGCAUGCCACCCUCACCCAUCCUCAGCUCUGAAUACUGCAUGGCCAGGCUGGCAGUGAAGCCCGCAUGCUGCCUCACCAGCCGUCCACAGCAGCACCUGGGACACAGACCGUCCAGAACCGCUUCAGUACACUGCAAAAGUCACGCUGCCAUUCCCUCAUCAACAAGCCUAGUGACAGGAAUUAGAUCAACUCUCUGUCCACUACACCACACUCACAAUCAUUUACCAACACACAAUGACCAAUGAGUGAAGACUUCACCAUACAGAAUGCUUGGAUUAAUGCAAAGCACAUUCUUCCUUUCACCAGACAUCCAAAUUCAGGUUAAAAGUUAGUGAGGAGAUAAAGUGAGGCUUCACGAGGCCCAGAACAGUUGUAAUGAGCUGCCAACCACUGAGGUGUUUUGCCUCCAUAGAAAGUAUGACUGGCACAAACCAUUGAGUCACUGAUUACACACAAGAGCAUAAGAAUAUAUAAUGAUGAAAUCAAGGCAUUAAACUCAUUAAUGACCAUCCAGUGCAAUUACCCUGGCUCAUUGUAUACACUAAUGCUGUUUCACUUGUUGAUUUGACUCCAAAAAAUAAACACAAAAAUAAACAAAAAUGUCAGAUCAUACAAAUAAUUGGGAUAAAUCAUUUAAGACAAGAAAUCCAGAAAUGGAUACGGACCUUCGGAAACACUGUUCCCCACCCCUGGUCUAGAGAAUGUCCAGCACUGUAUUAAGCCUAGACUUGAGCAUUCUCAGUGUCCCUGCCUCGACUACAUGACAUAGCAAGUUGUUCCAUGCAAUAAACAACUUUCUGGUGGCUUUGCCCAUUUUGGGGCUCAUGACAUCUCACCAAACCAAGACAAACGUAAUCUAGCCUUCUCAGAAGCUGUCCAGGCUCACCUCACAAGCUGCUGGCAAAUCUGACAUCCUGGGAGACACCUGGAAAGAAAAAUUUAAAUCGAGUCAUGCCUUUCUGGUAAAUCAAUAACAGUCUUGGGAAUCUGGAAACUUGGGAAUUUAAUGCAAAGAGGGGAUAGUUCUCUCGUGUCCUGCCAAAAUUUCACACAUCUGAACUGUCAUGUGGGUUUUCAUUUCAACCCUAAUCCCGCUUGAAGACGCUUAGUGUUCAGAGAAAUGUGGGCUACGACUAAUUUAUUUAACCCUACAUUGCGCUAAUAUCAAAGUGACCGACGAACAGUCGGUUUAAUAGGUUUAACCUUUUCCCUCCACCAGACACCCGCAUCCAAUAAUAGUGAGUGCAUUUUUGUAAGUGCCCAAUCAUAGCUACCAGUGUCUUGUCUUUGACUACCUGUGAAAUCUGAUUUGCUGAGAUUAAUUUUGUAGCUGAAGGCAAACGAAUUAAUCAACUCGAGUGAACUGAGAAAAGACGCUCACCAGUUCUUUUUACGAAAUAAAAUUGCCUAUAGAAGUGUCCAAACUGAAAGUGAACAUUAACUCUCCACGCGUACUUGAAGGAAAUUCCCCGAGAAUUUCCCCGAGGUGCACUGAAACGCCAGCGGUGGAA